UUAGUAACGGCGAGUGAAGCGGCAAAAGCUCAAAUUUGAAAUCUGGCACCUUCGGUGUCCGAGUUGUAAUUUGAAGAAGGUAACUUUGGAGUUGGCUCUUGUCUAUGUUCCUUGGAACAGGACGUCACAGAGGGUGAGAAUCCCGUGCGAUGAGAUGCCCAAUUCUAUGUAAAGUGCUUUCGAAGAGUCGAGUUGUUUGGGAAUGCAGCUCUAAGUGGGUGGUAAAUUCCAUCUAAAGCUAAAUAUUGGCGAGAGACCGAUAGCGAACAAGUACAGUGAUGGAAAGAUGAAAAGAACUUUGAAAAGAGAGUGAAAAAGUACGUGAAAUUGUUGAAAGGGAAGGGCUUGAGAUCAGACUUGGUAUUUUGCGAUCCUUUCCUUCUUGGUUGGGUUCCUCGCAGCUUACUGGGCCAGCAUCGGUUUGGAUGGUAGGAUAAUGACUAAGGAAUGUGGCUCUACUUCGGUGGAGUGUUAUAGCCUUGGUUGAUACUGCCUGUCUAGACCGAGGACUGCGUCUUUUGACUAGGAUGUUGGCAUAAUGAUCUUAA
rnacentral:rRNA from 1 species